UACGGAGGGGGCUAGCGUUGUUCGGAAUUACUGGGCGUAAAGCGCGCGUAGGCGGCUUUGUAAGUUAGAGGUGAAAGCCCGGAGCUCAACUCCGGAACUGCCUUUAAGACUGCAUCGCUAGAACGUCGGAGAGGUAAGUGGAAUUCCGAGUGUAGAGGUGAAAUUCGUAGAGAUGCGGAAGAACACCAGUGGCGAAGGCGGUCAACUGGCCUCAUAUUGACACUCAGACGCGAAGGCAUGGGUAGCGAACGGG
rnacentral:rRNA from 1 species